CAUUAUGUCUCGAAUUGCCCAAAGAAGGGAGGUGGAGCACCCCAACAACAAAAUCCCGGGAACCAACAGCGACAAAACCAAGGUCCUAGAGGAAAUCAGGGGCAACCACAAUACGCUAGGGCCUAUGCCAUUAACCAACACCAAGCAGCAGGAGAUCACGGAAACGUGGCAGGUACGAUUAAUGUUGUCGACAUGUCAAUUAUAGCUCUAUUCAAUACUGGAGUAUCCUAUUCUUUCAUUUCAUAUGCUGCUUGUAAGAUAUUAGAAUUGACGCCACAAUCGUCCAUAACAACGUUAGAAAUUAGUACAACUGACGAUGAAAGACUGCUACUAAGGACGUCACCGCGAACUCAGAGCUCGAUAUAGGCGCGGAAACAUUUAGACAUACUUACAUGUUAUUCCUAUGAUAGAAUUUGAUGCAAUCCUCGAAUUGGUUGACUUACUCAAGUCAGAGCCACGAUACUUUUAAACAAGAGAAAGAUCCCUCUUCGAUCUUCAGGAGAGGACGAGACAAGUUUCCACGACAUAACGACGUACCAGAGUUUGAGGAAAAUUUUCUAGUUUGUAAAAUGUCAUAGUGUUAUUGAAUUGUAUAUAUAUGAUUUAGUGCCAUAAGAUGAGUGGAAAAAGUCUAGUAUCCAAACUAGAUGACCCAGAUAUGCAAUUUCGAGGACGAAAUUUUUAUAAGGAGGGAGGAAUGUAACACCCGCCUAUUUAUAUUAAAUUUAGAAUUAUUUUGAACUUAGAUUAAGAUGAUUUAUGCCGGAGAAAUGAAAAUGAGUUUAUUCCUAACAAAAUUAUUUUCUAAAAGCUUUUAUAAAAUUUAGUCUUUUGAAUUUAUAUGCAUUGCAUAUUUAUUUAAUUUAACAUUCAAGUAUUUUCAAGAGCUUUUAAUUAGCAAACCCUGAAGCAUUAAGUACAGUCUCGACGAUUUUAUCAUGAGGGAUUUUGGAGUGUCCAAUUAUCACUCAUAACCUAUUUCCUCCAUCAGUCACCUUACUUACCUACUGCAGCCCCAAAAUUCAGGCUUUAUACCAUGCGUGGCAGAGGCAAUUAAAUGCCCCAUUUUCAGCCUCCAAUCUCAUCCCCAAGUCAAAUAUUGCAGGCAAAUCUCCAUCAAAUCUCCUCAAAUCUCAUCCCCACGUCAAAUAUUUCAGCCCAGCUGCCCUAUUCACAACCCAUGCUGCUACACUACUCAUCAAUCCAUUCAAUUGUUAACUCAUCAUUUUUUCUUUAAAUGAUCUUUCCUCAAUUCACAAUCAUCCAACAUAUUGCAUCUCUCACAAGAAAAAUCCGAAGCUCAAGAAUUCCAGCAACUAAGCAUGUUCAGAAUCUGAUCCAACAGACACCUUAUUAAAGGCUUUGUGGAUCGUGAGGACUAGCACUGCUAUACCAAUUCAGAGUUAAGAAUAAACGACAGGCUUUGCCUAUUCAGGUGGGCUUAUUUACCAAAUGUAUGGUUUAGCUAUUGAGCUUAAAUGUUUCAAUGAAAUAAAAAAAAAACUGUUUAUCCGAUAAAAUAUUUUGUGCACUCUGCUCUGUUUAAGGCUCGCAACAAUGAAUCGAUCGAGGUUCUCUUUUGACCUAACACGUUAUUUGAGAAUUGUGUACACCUAUUAGCUGACUCGGUGGGUUGAUCUCCAUUCGGGCACUAAUCAUGUAUGAGGCGUUAUAAGGGUGCUCGACGGGAUGUGUUCCGGAGCAUUUGGUCCCAAAUGGGAACUUGACUGGGUUACGCCCUCAGUUCAAGUAAAGCAGGAGUAAUGGAUCCGUCGGUGGCUAAAAGGUCCGGGAUCACAGCGAGUAACGGAAAGGGAGUGUGACAAUUGCGCGCAAUAUAAUAAAAUGUUUUUAGCAUGCUUAGAAGUUAUUUCAAUUUAAAAACCUUCUAAGUCAUGUCAUGUAUAAUUGGAUAAACUGCUCUUAUGAUUAUGAAAUGUUUAUAAAAAUGCUAGCCCACUAAGUACAUUAGUACUUAGCCCAAAAUUACUUUCAAAUAUUUUCAGGUUGAUUGGUCGGUGCUGACGGGGCAGAGCUGAGGCUAGGGUUCAACUCCGUAUUUUGUCUUCCGCUGUUGCAUUAGCUCUUAUUUGU
rnacentral:lncRNA from 1 species